rfam:Candidatus Buchananbacteria bacterium RIFCSPLOWO2_01_FTLL_39_33 rifcsplowo2_01_scaffold_20514, whole genome shotgun sequence.
GGCUUAGAAGCAGCCAUCCUUUAAAGAUAGCGUAAUAGCUCACUGGUCAAGUCGUUUUGCGCCUAAAAUGUUCGGGGCUCAAACAUGGUACCGAAGAUGCGGAACCAGUGCUUUGCACUGGAAAUUCUAAAUUCAAAAUUACAAAUUUCAAAUAUUUUUUAAAUAAAAAUUUGAAAAUUGGACCUGCCUGCCGUAGGCAGGAAUUGAAAAUUGGAAAUUCCAGCGCGAAGCGCUGGUUGGUAGAGGAGUAUUCCAACUGGAAUGAAGUCGGACCCGCGAGGGCCGGUGGACUGGUUGGAAGUAAGAAUGUUGGCAUGAGUAGCAAAAAUCAGGGUGAGAGUCCCUGACACCGUAAGUCCAAGGUUUCCUGGGUAACGAGAAUCGACCCAGGGUUAGUCGGUCCUAAGGCGAGGCCCAAAGGCGUAGUCGAUGGAUAAGCUGGUUAAUAUUCCAGCACUACCUUGAUUUUCCAAGGGGAGGACGCAUUAACAGAGAUUGAGCGCUUUUUGGCUAUAGGCGUUGCUGGUUUAAGAUGCGAUAGACAGGUAAAUCCGUUUAUCAUUAACAUCUGAAUUGGCAGAAGAGAAAACCGCAAGGUGGACUCAAUUCAAUUAAAGUUAGUGCCAAGAAAAAUCUCUAGGGUUAAGAUCAAGGCAACCGUACUGCAAACCGACUCAGGUGGACGAGGCGAGUAGCCUCAGGUGUACGAGAGAAACAUUGUUCAGGAACUCGGCAAAAUAGCGACCGUAACUUCGGAAUAAGGUCCGCCCCGAUUUAUCGGGGCCGCAGCUAAAGAUGCCAAGCGACUGUUUACCAAAAACACAGGUCUCUGCUAAACCGUAAGGUGAUGUAUAGGGGCUGAUGCCUGGCCAGUGUCUGAACGUUAAAGGGAGGGGUUAGUGUGCUUCGCUAUCGCGAAGCACUAAAUUCAAAAGGCAAAAUUAAAAAUUCAAAAAUAAAGUAUUCGCUUAACUCAUGAUUUUUUAUAAAAAUUAUCGCGAAGCGAUACUUAAGUUUUAACUUUUGAUUUUUAAGUUUUGAAUUUAGCGACGCGAUAGCGGAGCGCAUGAAGCCUCAAACUGAAGCGCAGAUGAACGCCGGCGGUAACUAUGAAAUAACGGUUGUAGUUACUUAAAUAAAUUUGGCCAAAUGCUGGAACACCUCGUUAAAACUAAAAAUACUCGGUUGAGUCGCAACCAGUAAAAAUUUUUNNNNNNNNNNNNNNNNNNNAAAAAUACUCGGUUGAGUCGCAACCAGUAAAAAUUUUUUAGUUAAGUUAUUUUAAAUAAAAAUAGCUACGAGACAAUCAGCAGGAAAGACUCUUUAAAUAUAUGUCUGAUUGGUUAUCUAAAAUCAAUCCGCGAAUCGGCAAUUAUCUGGCCGGCUUCGCUGAUGGCGAAGGAAGCUUUAAUGUUUCACUUCGCCAACGGGAUGAUCAUAAUCUUGGCUGGCAAAUUGUUUUAUGUUUUAACGUGUCCCAAAAGGAAAGUUAUAUUUUAUCGCAAUAUAAAAAGAUUUUGGGCUGCGGCAAGUUAAUAAAACGUAAUUCAGAUGGGCUGUAUAUGUACAGUGUUACUAAUAAUUUAUCCAUCCAAGAAAAAGUUAUUCCGUUCUUUGAAAAAUUUUCUUUCUUAUCACAAACAAAAAAGAAAAAUUUUCAAAUUUUCUGUCAAACUGCCUAUUUGGUUUUUUCCAAACAGUACUUUACUGAAAAUGGAUUAAAUAAAAUAUUAGAAUUGCGAGAAAAAUUAAACGAAGGCGGGGGUAGAAAAAGAAAAUACAUAAUGAGUGAUGUAAUUAAUUCACUCAAAGAGAAUCCCCAGAGACUAUACGCCAAACCGAGAAUUUUUAGAAAAGAAAAUUCAAGGAUGAUAUAGUCCGAACUCUAUGGCGACAUAGAGCUCCGUAAAAUCGGAGGAUCUUAAAAGAUUUAACACGCGCGAACCGUCCUAAGGUAGGAAAGCUGCCUUAGUAAAAUUCGGCUAUUUGCUGGAAUAUCUGGAGUAUCCAAAGAUACUUUUUUAAAAAGUAAUAAUUCUUUCGGUGCAGACAACCAGCAGGAAAGACUCCUGAAUAAGGAGAAUCCCCAGAGACUAUACGCCGAAUCUCGAUAAUUUUGAGAAAGAUAUAGUCCGAACUCUAUGGCGACAUAGAGAGCAUGGCAGAAAUGACUAUGCUAUCUUCAUAAAAGAAGAGAGUAACAAAUUUAAGCGAAAUUCCUUGUCGUGUAAGUUACGACCCGCACGAAUGGCAUAACGACUUGGCAACUGUCUUAACAAUGUACUCGGCGAAAUUGCAAUUGUCGUGAAGAUGCGACAUUCCCAUAGUUAGACGAAAAGACCCCGUGAAGCUUUACUACAACUUGGUACUGAAUUACGAUAUUGCCUGUUUAGAAUAGGUGGGAGUCCCGGAUUCGUCCAGGACGCCAGUGAAAUACCACCCUUGUUCUAUUGUAAUUCUAACCUACUCCCGUGAAUCCGGGAGAGGGACAGUAUCUGGUGGGUAGUUUAACUGGGGCGGUUGCCUCCUAAAAUGUAACGGAGGCGUUUACAAAGGUUGGCUAACUCCGGAUGGAAAUCGGAGUGAUAGUGUAAAGGCACAAGCCAGCUUUACUGCAAGACCUGCAAGUCGAGCAGUUGCGAAAGCAGAACUUAGUGAUCCGACCGUACGAAAUAGGACGGCGGAAGCUCAUCGGAUAAAAGCUACUCCGGGGAUAACAGGCUAGUCUCCUCCAAGAGUCCACAUCGACGAGGAGGUUCGGCACCUCGAUGUCGGCCCGUCCUAUCCUGGAGCUGAAGAAGGUUCCAAGGGUUUGGCUGUUCGCCAAUUAAAAGGGCACGCGAGCUGGGUUCAGAACGUCGUGAGACAGUAGAAAAUUUUGGCUAAAUUUAGCCAAAAGACCGUGCUGUCUAUAAAUUUGGCUAAAUGCUGGAAACUCUGUAAAGUCCCAACGGGAGUGGGACUUGAGUAUCUCACAC